GGAUGAACGCUAGCGGCAGGCCUAAUACAUGCAAGUCGAGGGGUAUGGGUUGCUUGCAACCCAGAGACCGGCGCACGGGUGCGUAACGCGUAUGCAAUCUACCUUAAUCAGGGGGAUAGCCCGGAGAAAUCCGGAUUAACACCGCAUAACAUUGAGUUGUGGCAUCACAGUUCAAUCAAAUAUUUAUAGGAUUAAGAUGAGCAUGCGUGACAUUAGUUAGUUGGUGAGGUAACGGCUCACCAAGACCACGAUGUCUAGGGGAUCUGAGAGGAUGACCCCCCACACUGGUACUGAGACACGGACCAGACUCCUACGGGAGGCAGCAGUAAGGAAUAUUGGUCAAUGGGCGCAAGCCUGAACCAGCCAUGCCGCGUGCAGGAAGACGGCCCUAUGGGUUGUAAACUGCUUUUGUACCGGAAUAAACCUUCUCUUGCGAGAGAAGCUGAACGUACGGUAAGAAUAAGGAUCGGCUAACUCCGUG
rnacentral:rRNA from 1 species